AGGACGAACGCUGGCGGCGUGCUUAACACAUGCAAGUGGUGCGACGAACCAGGGCUUGCCCUGGGGCCAAGCCGCGAACGGGUGAGUAACACGUGAGUAACCUGCCCCGAUGACCGGGACAACCCGAGGAAACUCGGGCUAAUACCGGAUGUGGCGCACAGGCGUAAGCCUGUUCGCUAAAGGAAGCUUCGGCCUCCGCAUUGGGAGGGGCUCGCGGCCCAUUAGCUUGUUGGUGGGGUCAAGGCCUACCAAGGCGACGAUGGGUAGCUGGUCUGAGAGGACGAUCAGCCACACUGGGACUGAGACACGGCCCAGACUCCUACGGGAGGCAGCAGUGGGGAAUCUUGCGCAAUGCGCGAAAGCGUGACGCAGCAACGCCGCGUGGGGAAGAAGGCCUUAGGGUUGUAAAGCUCUUUCGUCAGGGAAGAUAAUGACGGUACCUGAAGAAGAAGCCCCGGCUAACUUCGUGCCAGCAGCCGC
rnacentral:rRNA from 1 species